AAUAAACUUAGAAAAAUAUAAAAAGAAUAAAACAAAAAAUUGAUAUUGAAUUUGGCGCUUCUUAGAGAAGCGCGCAUGAGCACUGCGUACGGGAUAGUUAUAUGUGUGGUUAUUUAUUUUUGUCGAUUAGAACGUGAAUAAAAAAACAGUGUUCAGCAAACCGCAAACAAUUGCAAGAUUGUUGUUAACAGGUGAAUUAUAAAUUAGCAACAAUGAGACUUUCAGCAAAAAAUAAGUGGCUUGAUAGAUUUCACCAUGGAUUUGUUUAUUGCUGUAUGGGAUUGACCGCAAUAACCUUGGUAGGGCUCGCUCAAAUGGGCUACGAUUACUACUAUAAUAUAAAACCCGCUCUCCAAGCAGAGAAAUUGAAAAAGGAGCGAGAAUUACUCAGAGAAGGCAGUCCCUUCAUCUCAGAAGCUGAAGUAACCAGCUCUUAGUCAUAAACAACUUUAGAAAAAACUAAAAAUGUAUCAAAUAAAUAAGGAUAAUUAUCGUAUAUCGUAAAAUGAUUUAUUUUGUACAAAAAUUUAUAAUAAUAGACUUAUGUAGAAGA